UUUAUGAAGGUCUGAUGCUUGGAUACACGCCUACACCCGAUAGUAGUAUCCGACGGAGGAUCCUCUACAUAUAAUUGUUAAUGUGGGUCUCAUUACAAUAUGCAAUUUGGCUACAAUUUUAUUCACAAUAGCACAAUAUUUAAUGUUUGCUCCCGACAUGUUGAUGCUCCAUACUCGUGUUAAUAUAAUUCACAUCUAUCCAACUUGACAAUUUACGUUGUUGACCAUCAAGAUGUUUGUUCAAGUAAUUUCAUGUCUUCCAAAGCAUAAUUAUUAUUAUUAGGCAAAUUCUAGGCACGGGUUAAUAUCAGGAUUGGAAUAAAAAAUGUUUUGGAAAUAGGUAAAAAGGUUAAAAAGGAUUUCUCAAAUUGAUGAAAAGUGCGUGGAAAUUGAUGAGAAGCGGCUCAUGUUCUUCUCAUUUGUUUUUUCUUUUGUGCCCCAUGGGACUUCUUAGCAACCCAUAUUAAUAAGCACCCUUACUGCACGUUAUUCUGACUGCAUUCGCUGAAAAUAGUACUACUGUGUCUAGCAGGCAGUGCUGUCAAAUCUUCUCUGCCAUGGACGACAGUAGAACAGACUCUUCCAUCAAUAAGUAAAUUUGCUGCUAUUGUAUUCUAUUCCAGCAAUGUUGGUUAGGUUUUAGCUGGUGCUCAAUGAUAUUGUAAAGGUUUAUUAUGGAAGUGGAGAACAAUUUGGAAAGCUGGAAGCGAGAGCAAAACCAAGACUU